GAUGAAGAACGCAGCGAAAUGCGAUAAGUAGUGUGAAUUGCAGAAUUCAGUGAAUCAUCGAAUCUUUGAACGCACAUUGCGCCCCUUUGUAUUCCAUGUGGCAUGCCUGUUCGAGCGUCAUUUGUACCUUCAAGCUUUGCUUGGUGUUGGGUGUUUGUCUCGCCUUUGCGUGUAGACUCGCCUUAAAAUAAUUGGCAGCCGGCGUAUUGAUUUCGGAGCGCAGUACAUCUCGCGCUUUGCACUCAUAACGACAGCGUCCAAAAGUACAUUUUACACUCUUGACCUCGGAUCAGGUAGGGAUACCCGCUGAACUUAAGCAUAUCAAUAAGCGGAGGA
rnacentral:misc_RNA from 1 species